rnacentral:rRNA from 1 species
UACGGAGGGGGCUAGCGUUGUUCGGAAUUACUGGGCGUAAAGCGCACGUAGGCGGACUGUUAAGUCGGGGGUGAAAUCCUGGGGCUCAACCUCAGAAUUGCCUCCGAUACUGGCAGUCUCGAGUGCGGGAGAGGUGAGUGGAAUUCCCAGUGUAGAGGUGAAAUUCGUAGAUAUUGGGAAGAACACCAGUGGGCGAAAGGCG